GUGUGGCCAGCCCAGCCUUCAGGUGAGCAUCAUCAAGCCAUUUGUGGGUGGCAUCAGAUGGUCAGAGCAGUGCAGGACGACCUGGGGAGCAGCCCAUCUGGGGCUCCCUGCGGGUGUUUCGGAUGUGGGGUCCCGCGGGCGGUACUUAUGGUGGUCACGAUGCUGGGAGGGACGACUGGCGCUUGGCAGGCAGGGAUGCGCGCGGGUCUCUAACGUGCCCAGUGAGAAAUGGUGACUGCAUCCCAGGGAAAACUGCAAAUGUCCCUCCAGGCAUUCCUGUGGGUGAAAAACUUGUUGAAAAUGAUCUGAGCCUAGGGACGCCUGGGUAGCUCCGUUGGUUGAGUGUCUGACUUCAGCUCAGGUCAUGAUCUCACGGUUCGUGGGUUCAAGCCCCGCAUGGGGCUCUGUGCGGACAGCUCGGAGCCUGGAGCCUGCUACGGAUCCUGUGUCUCCCUCUCUCUGCCCCUCUCCUGCUUGUCCUCUAUCUUUCUCUCUCAAAAAUAAAACAGACAUUAAAAAGUCGUUCUAGAAAAUGAUCGGAGCCUAGAACUGGACCCUGCUUUUCACAUUUUACAUAUCAGCACACAGUUUGGGGGUAGGGUUUUUUUUUUGUUUGUUUGUUUGCUUUUUUGUUUGUUUGCACAAUUUUAACAAAAAAGGAGUCUCCCAUGCUUGCAACUAGAGCGACAGUUGAGGACAGAUCGUCUCUUGUUUUGUCACGGGAUUUUACCGAGAGUGUCCACUCUUCCAGACACGUCCCUCAACGCGAGGCUGCUCGUGGUAUUUCAGUGUCAGAUACAGCGUCACGGCACCAGCCCGCGUUUGGAAACGUCACAUUCGUGGUGAGGAGAUGAGCAGGUGCCUCAGUUCCACUGCUUCCCUAGUGUCCGGCUGCCGAGGCACUGAAAACAAAACAUCGUUUGGUUGUAAAUCACUGCCCUUUUAUUUCUCCUUUGCGUUACAGGCUAGGGCACUAUUAUCCUGAUUUUUAUAAUUAUGUAUGUGAAUAGGUCGUGUUAUCGAUGAACUUUACUUCUGGAGGGAGAAGGAGGGACCACCGAGCAUUCGUUACAGGACAGAAAUGCUGUCCCACUGUUUCACGGAUGGGAAAUCUGAGUCCAGGAUGUCAUUGUGACCUGCUGGAUGUCACCCUAGGAAGGGGCAGGACGGAACUGGAGCGCAGGUCCCUCGGGAUUCCUGGUCCCGGGCUCUUUCUGCUUCCUCAACAGCCCUUAGCAGCCCUCCUCGGCCUGUCUUCUCACCAUAAGCCCUGCUCCCUGUUAUAAAGGGAAACGAAAGAUUUUUACCAACGUGUCGACUUUUGUUUGUCGUGUCGUGGAAACUUCCUGAAAAGGCCUCGAGGCCCUAGGCUGUGUGAGCCCAGCAGUCUGCCGGUGUGCGGGGCCUCUCUGGGCUGUACCAUCCGGUCACUCUGGCCACGCUCCCUCUGGAGCCAGGGGGAGGGACCAGAUGACCUCCUGUGACCUCAUCCAGCCAGCACUAUUUUCCCCCUUUCUAGAUUGUUUUUCCAAUCACCAAGUGAAUCUGAGUGAGACUCUCUAUUCUUUCGACGACUACCUUUCAACUCAAGUUAUGGUUUUAUAAAUAAUAUAUAUGGCAAGUCGGGACUGGGGAAAGGACGUUCAUUCGGCUCUGAAAUAUUUAUGGCCUGGAGUGUCUGCUUACUUUUCUUUGGAGUCAUUUUUUAGCAUGGCGUGCCAGAAAGUGCGACAGCCCAGGGCAUCUUCGGAAAGGGAGGCACGGAUGGCCCUUCCAGCCAGGCUGCGGGGCCUAUCCAUCCUGCGGCCGACAGGGGAGGGGACGGCGCUGCCCGGGGGAGCGCUCCUGAGCCCAGACCUCCUAAAUUAUCUCGGGGAAGGCUCUGCUCGGGUGACAAGAAUCAGCUUUCCAGCGUGCAGUUUGAAUACUAACAGACUCUAUAUCAGGCUUUCUCAGAUAUGUUCUGGAACCCUUGGGCCUUUCUUGGGAGGUGUGCAUUCUAACCUUCAUUUUACAGAUGGAGAAACCGAGGCUCGGCGAGAUCAAGGAAUUUCUCAAGGUCAAAGCCACAAUCCAGUAAGAGCCUGGAUCUUUACCCAGCCUGGCUGCCGUCUUAUUUCAAUCUUUUCUCCUUACCCCACGAUGCUGCCCAGCCUAGCCCAUCACUCACCCGCAGCUGGGAGCCAGUGAAUGGAUUGUAGACCAGUUUCUGAGGCUGCACAGGCCGGUCUGUAACGGUUUGCAAUGCCGGGGGCCUUGGAUGUGGGACUAGCCUAGCAAUCUGUGCUGAACAGCCGGGCUCGAAUCCCAAUCCUAACGGAAAGACCCACAGAGUCAUCUUGUUCAACUUCCCAUGUUACAGGUGGGAUGUGAGGAGCCUGGCAGGCGUAGGGGUUUGCUCAAGGCCGCAGAGAUAGUUGGAACCCAUUGGUCACAAUGGUGUCUCUUGGAGACAUCUGGUCAACCUCGUCUCCCUCUCAUUACCCCUUUUCUUACAGGGGAAAACCAGCACCUGGAGAGUUAAAAGCUCGAUCAGCGUCACAACGGUGGAUGGCUAUAGGGCCGUGUGCUUCCCUGGUCUGGCUGUAAAUCGGCGAGGGAGUCAAAUAAUUUUGAGACUGUGCUUGAGGAAAAAAUUCCAGGGCGUUUCUAAACUAGUUGGACCAUGGAGUGGGCUGUAGUUGAUAAAUUAUAGAUAUUUAAUCAGUGAUCGGAUUGAGUAGUGAGGACAGGAAUGUCUCACACCGUUGCUCCACUGGGAAAGACACUUCUUUUCCUGAUAGUUGGUGACUCUAGGCACCCUGUGGGGCCAGGCUGGCACUGAGUCAUAACGGGGGCAGGCAACAGAGAAUAGUUGUGAAAUCAGUCGGAGACAACAUUUCUGGAGAAGUCUGGCUCAACUCUGAGCCAGAUGGAACUGUCGGGCUGUCCUGCUCUGGCCGCCUUGGGCCUGGUACCCCCUCCCUGCUCCUGCCAUAGGACCCCCCCCCCCCCCGUGGUAGAUAUAAUCUUCAGAGAUGGCCCCCACAGUGAGCCGUGCCUCCUGGAGUUCACGCUCUUGUACAGCCCUCUCCCCUUGAAUGUGGGCUGGCCCUGUGUGCACCAAUAGAUGUCGCGGACGUGACCGAGUGACUUCCAAGGCCACGUCGGAAGAAGAGGCUCCUCGGAGGUGACCUCUCCACAAACGAGAGCACGUGCAGGCAUGGGGGAAAGCGGGGGCCUAUGGAAGGAGGGUCUCUCUGCCCUUCCCUCUGGACAGCCCUGCCUCACCUUGAGUCAUUCUUAGACCUCACCUCUGCCCUUGGUUUCUGACCAUCUCCCAAAAAGUGUGGUCAGCAGGCCCGAACUGUCAGCGUGUGAGGGGUGUCCCAUUUGACCUGAGCAGCAUUCUGGUCAUGUGCAGAGGGACCGCACAUUGUCCGCGAUGGUACCCUGUUGGCUUUGGAGAUGCAGGAGGGCCAUGCGCCAAGGGAUGCAGAAAGUCUGCAGGAGGAGGAAGAGGCGAGUGGACAAGAUUCUCCCCAGAGUCUCCGGAGUGGGAAGCAGCCAAUGCUGACCCCCCGAAGAACGCAGUGAGCCCGCGUCAGAUCUCCAACUCCAGAACUCGAAGGUAAUCGAUAUGCAUGGUUUUAAGCUGCUACAUUUGUGGUCACUUGCUACAGCAGCUGUAGAAAACUAAUCCAGUGGGGCUCAGAGAGGCUCUGUAACUUACCCGAAAUGACACAGUGUUAGGAGCGAUCCCAGGUCAGCCUGACCCCAGAGCCCUUGUUCCUCUCUGCUCCACACUGCCUCCUGCUGGUGCUCAAGGUGGCCUCCAAACGGGGGCGGGGAGAGCUCGGGCGAACUGGGUACUUGAAGAAUGGGGCAGAGAGACACAAAGCCGGGAGGGAUCUGUGACCCUGCUGCCCAUGGAGAGGCCCCCUCUCUUGGCCCCAGCUUCGAACAAGACAAACUGUGAGAUCAUGAUCCGAGUCAAAGUCAGACGCUCAACCGACUGAGCCACCCAGGUGCCCCUAGCCUGUUAUAUUUUUACGUUACUUAACGUAUCUUGCUUAUUUCGUGCCUCCCUCCGUAGAAUUUUAGUUCCGGGAGGGGACGGACUUUGUACAUCUUCUCCUCCAAGGUGUCCCCAGACCAAACACAGUGCCUGGUACAAGACAGGUGCUCCAAACGCGUUUGUUGACUGAGUGAGUGAGCGAAUGACAGCGUAAUGAGUGAAAGCGGUCCUCUGUGGACGUGAGUCUCCCACCGAGGCAUCGCUGAGGGCUGGGGAUUUGUGGGACUGAUUUUCUCACAAAGGGGCCAGCAGCGAGUACACCGGGUUGGGGAGGGGACUUUUAGGAGGCUGGCGGAAGCAGCUAUGAUCUGAGCGCACGAAAUGGGCUUGACACGGCCAACCUCACAGGCCUGAAGGACACGGAAGGAGUCCUUGGCCUCCAGUGACUUUCAGCGAGGCGGGGGGUGGGGCGGGCACCUGGGGUUAUUUAUAGCUUGAGUGGACUGUGUUCUCCAUUCGGAAGGAGCAGAGAACAAGGAGCAUGAGCUGAGUCAUGAGCUUGGGGAACGGGCAGUGGUGGGGAGGGUCUGGGGCCCCUGGAGUGAGUGGGGGACGGGCAGAGGGAAGGGAGCAGGACCUGGGAUUCCAAAGCGACGGGUGACUCUAGAAGGUCAGGUCCCCAGAAAGCGGACUCGGGCUGGAGACUUUGUGCCGGAAGGUUAAUGGGGUUGCUCCUUGGAUCAGUGCCUAAGAGGGAAGGGCAGCGGCGGGGCUCAGAGGGAGAACUGGCCUUGCAGCCAGACCUCAGCCAACCUCAGGGCUGCCGCUGGGCCCCCAGAGCCCCACACUCGGCUCUCAGGGGCACAGGCUGCCCCAGUACGGGGUCCGGCCCGAGGGCAGGGGUGGGGCUCGCCUCAGAGAGGGCCAUGCGGUCACCUUCCCGGCCGGCCGUUGGGGGAUAAUCCCUCGGACUUUCAGGAGUCUUUGGGUGGCCGAGGGAGAGCAGCAGGGGCUGGGGUGCGUGUGGGCAGGUGGGGGCGGAGGGGAAGGAUGUGGAUGUGAAAGAGCAUGGCCACGUGCGGACAGGGUCAGAGCCUCCACGGGCCAGCUGUGUGUGUGUGGGAGCCCGCCUCUGUCGGGGCUGUGUUGCUGAGGGUCCUUGGGGUCCCAUCUCCGGGGGUGGAGAGCCCCUCUCCUUCCUUGGUGACGUCGAGGAGGUGCUGGGGCGGCCCCCAGGGCGGGGGACACUGGGGCCGCCCCACCGUGAGGCCCACGGGGGACUCCGGGCUGAGGGCGAGUGGGGGAAUUUAUAACCAGAGAGCGUCGUCAAAGCCAAGCCCGAGAAACUAAGCCCCGGGUCCCCCCAAAGCCUGCACAGCCAAUCCGGGGCUGGUGAAAACAGCAAUUAUGAGCCGUGUUAUUAAAGGCUGCAGGAUUUUAAUUAACAAUGGAAUUACCGGGCCAGGGAAGGGAUAAUGACGGAUUGCUGGAAGGCAGUUGGGGUUGGCUGUGGGUUGGCUGCCGUUACAGCCUCUGUCAGCCCCUGCUAGGCCCGGGAGCUGGUGGGGCCGCCCCCCCACCUCCCUCCCCAGGCUUUCUAGUUGCUAAUGAGAAGCAUUUGCACAGAGCUCGGGGCCAGGCUGGCCAGAGCUGGCGAUGGCGGCGGUGUGUGUGUUCCUAGGGGGCAGCCGACACCCCAGGACUCCAAGGCCUGGGUGUGGACCGAUGACCGGACCAGAUAGGGGGGUUUCCCGGCAGGGCCAGGAUGGGGAGCCCAGCAGAACCAAGGGACCGCGAGCUACAAGGCCACUGGGAAGGAGGCUGUUCUCAACACUUGGGUCCGCCGCCAGCCUCCCCACAACCUCCUGGGCCUCUUAUACCGCCGGUCCCCGGGUCCCGUCCAUGGGCAGGUUAACGAGGAGAUUCUCAUCAGGUUCAAGUUUCAAAACCAGUGAAUUUGAGGCCUUUGGUUUUCAAAUGUUUGGCUUGUCUCCUGCCUUAGCAACCCUUGCUUCAAAUGCAAUCUUAGGGGGAAAGGGAAUGAACCCAGCAGGGUGCUCCGUCAAUGCCAGGAUUGGGGAGGGGGUGGGUCCCCUUUUGCAAACAGCCCCUGGGAUCGGUUCAGGCAAACGCAAUUUCUUCUCUGUCUCCAGCACCUUCCCCUUCCCUAUGCAGUCCUGGGACGGUUCAGAUGGUGGCCGGAGCGAGGCCUUAAGGAAUGGACUGGGCAGGGCAGCAGCUGAAUUCCUGAAGAUUUUGACCCAGGAAGGACAAACUGAAGAGCGCUUCGUGGCUGAGACUUGGGGUAACGAGGGCAGGCUCUGCAAUCAGACUGCCUGGGUCCAGCUCCGUGGGGGACUCAUACUGCGUGGUGAAACUCACCGCACGAGUUACGACGCUUGCGUGCCUCAGUUUCCUCAGCUGUGAAAUGGGUGUGAGGCGGGACUCUGAGACUCUCUUUCAAACAAGGCAAUGUCAACACCCCGCCCAGUGUCACCUUGUGGAAUGUUCUGGAACUCCAGUGAGGAGCAUGAGCCCACACGGGCCAAGCCCUUAGAACCGUCGGCAGUGACUGGUCAGGAAGUGCUCCCUGUGACGGACCAGCUCAGAGCCAUUUGACAAAGCGCACGGGGCUCCUGCCCAGAGCCUGCCGGGGGUGUCAGGAGACGAGCUCUCUCAGCUUGGAGGCAACCACUGGCAUUUCAACCUUGCCUCUGGCGCCCCCUCCCCACGCGGCCCCCGGCGAGACGCUUGCUCCUCUGAAGCCACUUCCGGAGGGAUGACAAGAGAUGGUUGCCUGGUUCCCAGUCUACAUCAUCCGGGACUUCCCAGUGGCUUUUGGCACAACUGACCUCUGUCCUCCAGAAGCGCGUUCUCAGCUUGUCCUCUGGGACCCUGCACCCUCCUCGCCUUCGCUGGCGGCUCCUCAGCGGGGCGGACAGGCUCUCCCUGAGGGCCUCGGUGCUGUCUCGGUGCACACACGGCUUUUUCAGCUCCUCCUGGGUAACUGGGGCGGACGGAUGACUCUCUUGGUUUCUGUGGCCGGGUCUUUCCUUUGGACGAUCUUCUGAGGUCUGGAUCUGACUCUUGAUUAUCUCUUGAGUUAGCUCUAGCGUUCCUGCUGUCAAGCAGCCCUCUGCGUUGGACUCAUAGCCAGGGUGCAGUCAAGGUUUAUUAAAUGGCCAACAAGAGAAGUGGAGUGAGGUCAGACAGUUUCUAGGACGUUUCCUGGCUACGUGAACUUUCUUCUUUUUUUAAUACAUUUUUUGAAACAUGUAUUUAUUUUUGAAAGACAGAGAGAGACAGCACGAGUUGGGGAGGGGCAGAGAGAGAGAGGGAGGCACAAUCCGAAGCAGGCUCCAGGCUCCGAGCUGUCAGCACAGAGCCCGACGUGGGGCUCGAACUCACAAACCGAGAGAUGGUGACCUGAGCCAGAGUCGGACACUUAACUAACUGAGCCACCCAGGUGCCCCUACAUAAACGUUAAUUCUGUGAGAUUAACUGGAAAUGGUGCUUGGGGCCCGGCAGUCCCUGCACGUGUGGGUUCGGUGCCAAUAUAAGGAUGCGAGAAGUAACCCCUUCAUUAUUUGCUGAGCCCUUGGACGUGAUCCCAUGAGGUCCUCUGAACCGGUAUUAUUCUAUUAUGUACGUGAAUAUUCUGAAGCACGGACACAUCGGCCAUUUUGCCCAAGCAUUGCCACCCCCAGAAAUGCACUUAUAAAGAACUGGGCAAAUAAUUAUUGAGUCGAUUGUGUGGCAGAGAAUUAAAGAAGGUUAUAUACCGUCCAGCUGCGUUUUUUGCGGAUGCCGGGUUUGUGAAUUCACCCGCUCACUAAAGUUUAUCUGUAAUCCAAAUGUGCCAUCGAUGCUCACGGUGCUUUCACUGUUAUCGUGAAUCUCUGCAGGGUGGUGACAAUUUCUAUUUGCCCAAUGCGCAUGUCCCCUGCGGAGGUUGAACGAGGCCACGCCCUGUCUUCUUGUUUCAGCUCUCAUAUGGAGAUCCCCAGAGGCUGGAGAGGGCAGGGGCCAUUCA
rnacentral:lncRNA from 1 species